CAGCGGCUCCCAAGGCCUGGUGGGGCGUUGGUGCCCGGAUGCCACCAACGGCUCCCGCCCGCCACAGGGGCUCAACGGUGCCCCAACUCCCUUCCCUGGGUCCGGCCAGGAUGCUGGUGCCCCGGAAAAACCACGGGCCAGUGCACACCCCUCCCAGACCACAGGAUCACAACCAUGUCCAAUGGACACGCCAGCCCCACGUCAAACCAGCCCCCGGGUCGCCCUGAAGACCCCUCCCAGGGGCCCCCUGGCCACCGCAUCCAAGCCUCCACCAGUGACACCUGGUCACAACACAGACCCCUCCGUCAUCCUCCCUCCCCGCCACAUCCAGUGCCCGGGACCUGCCCAGCACGUAGCAAGUGUCACUUUUUGGACAGCCGACGGGAACAGUUUCUAAUGCCCUCGGGGCAAAAGCAGUAGACAUGUCAGGAUUAGGAGAGAGGGUAGGUACACCCUCUGACCCCCGAGGACACCAUGUGCCAUCGCAGGCCAUCUGGCUCCAUCUCCGGGAGGCUUGGGGAGGCCCCACCCCCCACCCCAGCAAAACUGGUGCUCUCCUCGAAUCUAGCUAUGCACCCCUGCUGCUCCUCACACCCACCCCUGGGGACCCACUGGACUCUCCCUAGACUUGGCUGGAAAUCCUCCCAUCUCACUCACACCCGCCCCGGGCAGAGCGCCAGGCCAGCCCCCACCCCGAUCCCAGGCUGCCCCCUGGUGGCUAGACGUGCCACCUGCUCCGGACGUCCGGGGAAACUAAUGCCAGCCACCCACAACAGACCAUGAUUAUCCUUGACCAUCCUUCGGAAAAGUAACAGCAAACACUCUACCCACACGGACAGGAACCUGGCAUCACACGUGCCUAAACCACUUCACUGCCCCACGGGUCGUUUCUGGAAUCUUCUCACGGGUCUGAGGACAGCCAACAGUCUCAAGUCAUGGUGGUGCCCCCGGCCAGGAGCAGAGCUGGACCCCGGAGCCCACUAGGGUACCCAUCAGAGGGUUCCCGCCAAGUGCCCAGCUUGCCAGUCACAACAGACCAGGCAACCGGGCCCAUAGCCAACCGUGUCGGAUGCACGCUAUCUGUGCGGACCCUACAGGAGCCACCAGUACUUGUGGCUGCAGAGCAGGGACGUGUGGCUGGGCGAGAACGCACAGGUGGGAGAGGGAGAGAGAAUAGGAAGCCAACUCUGCACUGAGCACAGGACCCCACGAGCGGCUUGAUCCAUCGACAGUGAGGACCACGUCCUGAGAGGAAAGCCAAGACUCGGACACUUCAGAGUUCUGGCCUCGGAAAAAGAGCCUGCAUCCUUGACGGUCUCACCAAAGGCUAUCAGAACAUCUCAUCAGCAAGAUCAAAUCAGGGUGAUCGCCCAGAAAAGAGCUCAUUCCAGCCCCGAGCACGGACAUGUGACUCAGGCGUUUCUAUGACAGCAGCUGAAAAUAGUGUGAGGACCCUCCGGAUAAAAUGACCUUCAGACUCCCACUGAUCCUGAGACGCUGGGACUUCUGUAAUAUCUGAGGGGGGGGGGGGGUUGCCGCCCUCGCUGUAUAAAGAGUCUUAUCAUUCAGUAAGAAUCCUAAGCAAAUCACCAACGACAGUAAAUGGCUGAAUCCGGUGAAAAUUUGUCGUUAGGAUUACAAAGAAGUAUUAAAACGGGAUGAUGUCAUUUUCCUGUAUCGAAUGAGCACAUGUGGGGUUUGGUUGUGGGGAAGGAGGGGGCGAGGCGGGAAGCAGCCAGGGGCGGGUAAGCAGAGGGCCAAUCUAUCCCCAGCUUUUGGAAAGCAAAUCAGCAGAACUCUUCAAGGCUGGGAAAAGGCACAGACCCACUUUUGGGGGUCCCUCCCAAGGAAACCACCAGAUGCACUUACUAGGAUGCUCACUGUGGCCAAAUAGAUGGAGAGUUUCAGUGCACUCCAAUCCAAAUUCCAACAGCUGUGUGUGUGUGUGUGUGUGUGUGUGUGUGUGUGUGUGUGUGUGUGCGCGCGCGCGCGCGCACAUACCCGCCUGCACAGUCCCCAAAUGUUACAUACAAAUGGAAAGCAGAAUCUGGGAGUGGUCUGUCUGUGCACACCCAUAUUCCCUGGAACAUUAUUCACAAGAGCCAAAAAGUGGGAGCCUCCCAGGGAUCCGCUGGAUAAACAGAAUGUGCCCCAACCAUGCAACCGGACAUGAUUCAGCCUUAAAAAGAAAGGGAGCUCUGACACGUGCUCCAACACGGACGAAUCUUGAGGAUGUUACGCUAAGUGGAAAUAAGCCAGACACAGAACGACAAACACCGAGACAAAAGUUGGAGACCUCUUCUAUGAAGUCCCUGGGGUCGCCAAGUUCACAGAGACAGAAAGUGGAGGGGCAGGUGCCAGGGUCCUGGG